CAGCCGCCGCGGUAAUACGUAGGGUGCGAGCGUCAAUCGGAAUUACUGGGCGUAAAGCGUGCGCAGGCGGUUUUGUAAGACAGGCGUGAAAUCCCCGGGCUCAACCUGGGAAUGGCGCUUGUGACUGCAAAGCUAGAGUGCGGCAGAGGGGGAUGGAAUUCCGCGUGUAGCAGUGAAAUGCGUAGAUAUGCGGAGGAACACCGAUGGCGAAGACAAUCCCCUGGGCCUGCACUGACGCUCAUGCACGAAAGCGUGGGGAGCAAACAGGAUUAGAUACCCGCGUAGUCCCUGUCUCUUAUAC
rnacentral:rRNA from 1 species